rnacentral:lncRNA from 1 species
AUUCCAAAACAUACCAUUCAACCAUUCAAUUCCAUACCUAUUGUCAAUUCCAUACCAUUCCAAUCAUUCAACCAUUCAAUUCCAUGUAUUUUUUUUACAUAUCAUUCAAUAACCUAUUGUAGCGAUAAUAACCUAUUGGAGAAGUUCUAACCAGGACGCUUGUUGCUAACUUUCCAAGCUGAUGAUCGAAAGUUGGCAGCUUUCGAAAUCCAAACUUUUGCCUAAAUCCAAACAAAGAAUUAUAUGUUUAGACAGACGUUUAGUCAAAGUACUUAACUUGGUUUUAAUAUAAA